rnacentral:rRNA from 1 species
UACGUAGGGUGCAAGCGUUAAUCGGAAUUACUGGGCGUAAAGCGUGCGCAGGCGGUUUGGUAAGACAGAUGUGAAAUCCCCGGGCUUAACCUGGGAAUUGCAUUUGUGACUGCCCGGCUAGAGUUUGGCAGAGGGGGGUAGAAUUCCACGUGUAGCAGUGAAAUGCGUAGAUAUGUGGAGGAAUACCGAUGGCGAAGGCAGCCCCCUGGGUCAAGAAUGACGCUCAUGCACGAAAGCGUGGGGAGCAAACAGG